AUAUAGGAAAAGAGAAAGUGCACAUUGAUAAUUCAUUGAACUGGAGAAGACGGCGACCUUAGUUUCUUCUGAAUUUCCAGACCUUACUAGGAGGGAUCUGCGUUUGUGAGAGCGUCCGCGUUCUUCAGAAUGACCUCAAGAGUCCACCCAGCUCACUGGAUUCUCCUUGGGCUAUUUCUGCUGUGCAGAGAUAUCAGUGGUGAUGCUUCUCAGCUUUCUGAAGUCUCCUUUUCUUCUGGAGAAACAGCUCGGAUCUUCUGUAAACAUGGAGUCUCUAAUUAUAAUGGGGUCUUCUGGUACAAGCAAACCAGAGAUGCAGCCCCUUCCUUAGUCAUCUACAGUUACUCUAAAACUGAGAAGAAAGAACGGUUGGAGAUGGACACUGACAAAGGGAAUCUGUCUACAGAGCUGUCCAUCAGCAAGGUGGAGAUGGGGGACGCCGGGAUCUACCAUUGUGCUGCAAGUGACACAGUGGUGGGAAAUGCAAGGCGAGCUGCACAAAAACCUGAAGAGCUUUGA